GACGAACGCUGGCGGCAUGCCUAAUACAUGCAAGUCGAGCGAACAGAUGAAGUGCUUGCACUUCUGACGUUAGCGGCGAACGGGUGAGUAACACGUAAGGAAUCUACCUAUAAGCGGGGGAUAACAUUCGGAAACGGGUGCUAAUACCGCAUAAUAUCUUCUUCCGCAUGGAAGGAGAUUGAAAGACGGCUCUGCUGUCACUUAUAGAUGACCUUGCGGUGCAUUAGUUAGUUGGUGGGGUAACGGCCUACCAAGACGAUGAUGCAUAGCCGACCUGAGAGGGUGAUCGGCCAACUUGGGACUGAGACACGGCCCAAACUCCUACGGGAGGCAGCAGUAGGGAAUCUUCCGCAAUGGGCGAAAGCCUGACGGAGCAAUGCCGCGUGAGUGAAGAAGGCCUUCGGGUCGUAAAACUCUGUUAUAAGAGAAGAACAAAUUGUAGAGUAACUGCUACAGUCUUGACGGUAUCUUAUCAGAAAGCCACGGCUAACUACGUGCCAGCCGCCGCGGUAA
rnacentral:rRNA from 1 species